UUUAAGUGAGGGCCCCUCUGGGUUCCAACCCUCCCCACCCGUGUUUUUAUUGUACCUUUGGUUUGCUUCGGCGGGCCCGCCUUUUAUGGCCGCCGGGGGGGCUUACGCUCCCGGGCCCGCGCCCGCCGAAGACACCCUCGAACUCUGUCUGAAGAUUGUAGUCUGAGUGAAUACUUUCAACAACGGAUUUCUUGGUUCCGGCAUCGAUGAAGAACGCAGCGAAAUGCGAUACGUAAUGUGAAUUGCAGAAUUCAGUGAAUCAUCGAGUCUUUGAACGCACAUUGCGCCCCCUGGUAUUCCGGGGGGCAUGCCUGUCCGAGCGUCAUUGCUGCCCUCAAGCACGGCUUGGGUGUUGGGCCCCGUCCUCCGAUCCCGGGGGACGGGCCCGAAAGGAGGGGCGGCACCGGGCCGGGCCUUCAAGGGAUGGGGCUUUGCCACCCGCUCUGUAGGCCCGGCCGGCGUUGCCCAAUCAACCAAAAUUUUUCCCGGGUGGACCUCGGAUCAGGUAGGGAUCCCCGCUGAACUUAAGCUUAUAAUUACGUUGCUGAGAAAGGGCCUCUGGGCCACCGGUUAUGGCCCCGGGUGUUUUGGGGCCCCUUUUGGGGGGGUUUGUUUUCGCCGCCGGCGUUUGAAUUAUUACCCCUCUCCCCAAGAAAAAAGGGAAAUGAGUGGGGUGUGAAU
rnacentral:rRNA from 1 species